GACGAACGCUGGCGGCGUGCCUAAUACAUGCAAGUCGAACGCUUCUUUCCUCCCUAGUGCUUGCACUCUAUUGGAAAGAGGGGUAGCUGACGGGUGAGUAACACUUAGUUAACCUACGCAUCAGUGAGGGAUGACACUUUGAAACAGGUGCUAAUAUCUCGUAACAGGUUAUGCCUCCUUUCAUUUGGGUGGUUGGCGCUUUCGGGGGUCGCUGAUGGGUUGACCCGCGGUGCAUUAGCUAGUUGGUGAGGUAACGGCUCACCAAGGCCACGAUGCAUAGCCGACCUGAGAGGGUGAUCGCACACACUGGGACAGAGACACGGCCCAGACUCCUACGGGAGGCAGCAGUAGGGAAUCUUCGGCAAUGGACGAGAGUCUGAAAGAGCAAAGCCGCGGGAGUGAAGAAGGUGUUCGGAUCGUAAAACUAUGUUGUUCGAGAAGAACAAGGACGUCAGUAACUGAACGUAUACUGACGGUAUCUAAACAGAAAGACCCGGCUAACUACGUG
rnacentral:rRNA from 1 species